GAUGAACGCUGGCGGCGUGCCUAAUACAUGCAAGUCGAGCGAACAGAUAAGGAGCUUGCUCCUUUGACGUUAGCGGCGGACGGGUGAGUAACACGUGGGUAACCUACCUAUAAGACUGGGAUAACUUCGGGAAACCGGCGCUAAUACCGGAUAACAUUUGGAACCGCAUGGUUCUAAAGUGAAAGAUGGUUUUGCUAUCACUUAUAGAUGGACCCGCGCCGUAUUAGCUAGUUGGUAAGGUAACGGCUUACCAAGGCGACGAUACGUAGCCGACCUGAGAGGGUGAACGGCCACACUGGAACUGAGACACGGUCCAGACUCCUACGGGAGGCAGCAGUAGGGAAUCUUCCGCAAUGGGCGAAAGCCUGACGGAGCAACGCCGCGUGAGUGAUGAAGGGUUUCGGCUCGUAAAACUCUGUUAUUAGGGAAGAACAAAUGUGUAAGUAACUGUGCACGUCUUGACGGUACCUAAUCAGAAAGCCACGGCUAACUACGUG
rnacentral:rRNA from 1 species